UAGGUCAAGCUAAUAAGAGCACAGGGUGGAUGCCUUGGCACUGAGAGCCGAUGAAAGACGUGAUAAGCUGCGAUAAGCCACGGUGAGGAGCAAAUAUCCAUUGACCCGUGGAUCUCUGAAUGGGGAAACCCAGCCGAGAAAACCUCGGCUACCGUAUGAUGAAUCCAUAGUCAUACGGAGGGAACCCGGGGAACUGAAACAUCUAAGUACCCGGAGGAAAAGAAAGAAACAUCGAUUUCCUAAGUAGUGGCGAGCGAAAGGGAAAGAGCCUAAACCAUGGCAGAAAUGCCAUGGGGUAAUGGACCACAGAAAGCGAGCCGUAAGGUAGCAGAACGGUUUUGGAAAAGCCGGCCAGAGAGGGUGAAAGCCCCGUACGCGAAACCGUAAGGCAGCGAGUGGGAUCCGGAGUACUGCGGGACACGAGAAACCCUGCAGGAAGUCGGGGGGACCACCCCCCAAGGCUAAAUACUACUCAGUGACCGAUAGAGGAAAGUACCGUGAGGGAAAGGUGAAAAGAACCCCGGGAGGGGAGUGAAAGAGAACCUGAAACCCUGUGUUUACAAGCUGUGGAAGCAGGGUCUGUCAGCUUACCUAUCUUUACGAUUUUUACUUCGGAUAAGCUGGUAUCUGCAUCGUCAGUUUACUCGGCGUAGGCAACUACGCCUGCGUGAACCUCCUUGCAUAUACCGCUUCUCCUGUGUAAAAAUUGUCGUAAGAAUAGGUAAGCUGACAGACUGCGACCGCGUACUUUUUGUAGAACGGUCCGGCGAGUUACUUUUGCAGGCGAGGUUAAGGCCAGAAAGGCUGGAGCCGAAGGGAAACCGAGUGUUAAUAGCGCGCAAGUAUCCGAAAGGAUACUUUAGUCUGCAGGAGUAGACCCGAAACCGGGUGAUCUACCCAUGUCCAGGUUGAAGCCGCCGUAAAAGGUGGUGGAGGACCGAACACACAUCCGUUGAAAAGGGUGGUGAUGAGGUGUGGGUAGGGGAGAAAUUCCAAUCGAACUCGGAGAUAGCUGGUUCUCCUCGAAAUAGCUUUAGGGCUAGCCCUGGUAUAGGUUAGCGGAGGUAGAGCACUGAAUUGCCUAGGGGGCGUCAAAGCUUACCGAAGCAUAUCAAACUCCGAAUGCCGUAUAACUGGUUACCAGGAGUCAGACUACACGAGAUAAGUUGGGUAGUCAAAAGGGAAAAAGCCCAGACCACCGGCUAAGGUCCCAAAGUGCGUGUUAAGUGGAAAAGGAUGUGGGAUUUCAGAGACAACUAGGAUGUUGGCUUAGAAGCAGCCAUACAUUCAAAGAGUGCGUAAUAGCUCACUAGUCGAGAGGUCCUGCGCCGAAAAUGUCCGGGGCUAAAACACGCCACCGAAGCCGCGGGAUUGCACUAAGUGCAAUCGGUAGAGGAGCAUUCUUAAAGCGGAGAAGCUAAACUGUAAGGUUUAGUGGAGUUUUAAGAAGAGAGAAUGCCGGAAUGAGUAGCGAGAUAGAAGUGAGAAUCUUCUAGGCCGAAUAUCCAAGGUUUCCGGGGUAAAGCUGAUCUGCCCCGGGUAAGUCGGGACCUAAGGCGAGGCCGAAAGGCGUAGUCGAUGGACAACAGGUUGAGAUUCCUGUACUCCGUACAAACAGAACUGUGGGGACACGGAAGGGUAGGAAGAGCCGGGAAUGGAAAAACCGGUUCAAGCGCAAAGGAUAUCCCGGGAGGAAAAGCCCUCGGGAGUUUCUGAAGCGUGAUGAGGAGCGAAGAAAAAGUAGCGAAGCUUCCGAACCCAAGCCGUCAAGAAAAGCCGCUAUAGCUUUGUACGGACCCGUACCGUAAACCGACACAGGUGGAUGAGGAGAGAAUCCUAAGGCCGACGGGAGAAGCAUUGUUAAGGAACUCGGCAAAAUGGCCCCGUAACUUCGGGAGAAGGGGCGCCUGAGAGAUCAGGCCGCAGAGAAAUGGCCCAAGCAACUGUUUAGCAAAAACACAGGUCUAUGCAAAACCGAAAGGUGAAGUAUAUGGGCUGACGCCUGCCCGGUGCUGGAAGGUUAAGGGGAGAUGUUAGGGGAAACCCGAAGCAUUGAACUUAAGCCCCAGUAAACGGCGGCCGUAACUAUAACGGUCCUAAGGUAGCGAAAUUCCUUGUCGGGUAAGUUCCGACCCGCACGAAAGGCGUAAUGAUUUGGGCACUGUCUCGACAAUGCACCCGGUGAAAUUGUAGUACCAGUGAAGAUGCUGGUUACCCGCGCCAGGACGGAAAGACCCCAUGGAGCUUUACUCUAGCUUGAUACUGGGACCCGGUAAUGCAUGCACAGGAUAGGUGGGAGGCAAAGAAGCCGCGACUCCGGUUGCGGUGGAGCCGCCGUUGGGAUACCACCCUUGUGUUGCUGGGUUUCUAACACGCAGCCGUAAGCCGGCUGGUGGACAAUGUCAGGUGGGGAGUUUGACUGGGGCGGUCGCCUCCGAAAGGGUAUCGGAGGCGCUCAAAGGUUCCCUCAGAAUGGUUGGAAACCAUUCGAAGAGUGUAAAGGCAUAAGGGAGCUUGACUGCGACACCGACGGGUGGAGCAGGUACGAAAGUAGGACUUAGUGAUCCGGUGGUAUAAAGUGGGAUUGCCAUCGCUCAACGGAUAAAAGCUACCCUGGGGAUAACAGGCUUAUCACUCCCAAGAGUUCACAUCGACGGAGUGGUUUGGCACCUCGAUGUCGGCUCAUCGCAUCCUGGGGCUGUAGUAGGUCCCAAGGGUUGGGCUGUUCGCCCAUUAAAGCGGUACGCGAGCUGGGUUCAGAACGUCGUGAGACAGUUCGGUCCCUAUCCGGCGCGGGCGUAGGAUAUUUGAGAGGAGCUGACCUUAGUACGAGAGGACCGGGUUGGACGAACCACUGGUGUAUCGGUUGUACUACCAAGUGCACGGCCGAGUAGCCAAGUUCGGAAGGGAUAAACGCUGAAGGCAUCUAAGCGUGAAGCCCCCCUCAAGAUGAGAUAUCCCAUGGAGUCAAUCCAGUAAGACCCCUUGAAGACUACAAGGUAGAUAGGACAGAGGUGUAAGUGCAGUAAUGCAUUGAGCUGACUGUUACUAAUAGGUCGAGGGCUUGACCUGA
rnacentral:rRNA from 1 species